rnacentral:rRNA from 1 species
AGAGCGGUAGCCCGGAGAUGGGCACUUAGACAAGGGCCCAGGCCCUACGGGGCGCAGCAGCUACGAAAACUCCGCAACGCGCGCAAGCGUGACGGGGUUAUCCCGAGUGCCAUCCGCUGAGGAUGGCUUUUCUAUGGUGUAAUGAGCCAGAGGAAUAAGGGGAGGGCAAGCCUGGUGUCAGCCGCCGCGGUAAUACCAGCUCCCCGAGUGGUGGGGACUAUUAUUGGGCCUAAAGCGUCCGUAGCUGGCUCGGUAAGUCUUCCGUCAAAUCUAGCGACCUAAUCGUUAGGCCGCGGAAGAUACUGCAAAGCUAGGGGGCGGGAGAAGCCGACGGUACUUCUGGGGUAGGGGUGAAAUCCAGUAAUCCCAGGAGGACCACCAGUGGCGAAGGCGGUCGGCU